rnacentral:rRNA from 1 species
AGGACUUCGGUCCUGGGGACAGCGGCGAACGGGUGAGUAACACGUGGGUAAUCUGCCCUCGAUUCUGGGAUAGCCCGGGGAAACCCGGAUUAAUACCGGAUAGCCUUUCGAGCUUUCGGGCGAGAAAGAAAAGGUAGCUUCGGCCUCCGAUCGAGGAUGAGCCCGCGGUGGAUUAGCUUGUUGGCGGGGUAAUGGCCCACCAAGGCGACGAUCCAUAGCUGGUCUGAGAGGACGAUCAGCCACACUGGGACUGAGACACGGCCCAGACUCCUACGGGAGGCAGCAGUGGGGAAUCUUGCGCAAUGGGCGAAAGCCUGACGCAGCGACGCCGCGUGGGGGAAGAAGGCCUUAGGGUUGUAAACCUCUUUCAGGUGGGACGAAGCCACUCGGGUUAAUAGCCCAGAGGGUGACGGUACCGCCAGAAGAAGCCCCGGCUAACUACGUGCCAGCAGCCGCGGUAAUACGUAGGGGGCAAGCGUUGUCCGGAUUUAUUGGGCGUAAAGAGCGUGUAGGCGGCCAGGUAGGUGGGUUGUGAAAACUGGAGGCUCAACCUUCAGACGUCGACCCAAACCCCCCGGCUAGAGUCCGGAAGAGGAGAGUGGAAUUCCUGGUGUAGCGGUGAAAUGCGCAGAUAUCAGGAAGAACACCCGUGGCGAAGGCGGCUCUCUGGGACGGUACUGACGCUGAGACGCGAAAGCGUGGGGAGCGAACAGGAUUAGAUACCCUGGUAGUCCACGCCGUAAACGGUGGGUGCUAGGUGUGGGGGGUGUCGACUCCCCCCG